rnacentral:rRNA from 1 species
GCCGGCAGCUAGCUCUCUGCAACUCUCACAUGCUCACCCGCUGAAGCUAAGCAGGGCUGUGCCCGGUCAGUACCUGGAUGAAAGACCACAUGUGAAAGCUAGGUUGCUGCUGGAG